rnacentral:lncRNA from 10 species
GUCUGCCGCCAUGUGAGACAAGCCUUUCACCUUCCAACAUGAUUGUGAGGCCUCCCCAGCCACGUGGAACUGCAGUCGAGUUCCAUACAUUUAUUUCAACCCUUCUUGAACCUACCCAUGUGGAAGGCAGAAGCGCUGGGACAUGACCACCCAACUCAGCUCUGAAGCAGCCCUCACACAAUGACGGGGACUGCAAAAAGGAAAUUCUUUGAUAGAAAACCUGGACAGAAACAUUUUAUUUUAUUUUUUAACUUCAGGCAGACAAAGGCAUGAAAGAAAUGUGCCCUUUUGUUGACUGAUUGACAGCUCCAAACCGAACCAGAAUUUUCAAAAGGUGGACCUGAUCUCGUAACAUUGUAAAUUCAGUAUCUAUACGGUUCAUGAAAAUUGUUUUCCCAUUGCUUCUACCUUUAUUGUCAAGCUGUCAAAAUAGCAACUUCCUACUUAAGUUAUAUUUAUGCAAGCAUAUAAAGUGCUUUUUAUUAAAUUUACUUUUGGUUGAAUUAGAUGGACUAUUUUAGAGGAAAUAAAUCAUUUGUAUAAUGGUGAAGAAAUUGACCUUAUGGGCACCUUCCUAAGAAUGAUGUUUCAUUAGUGCUGGAUCAGCUUUUGGUAUCUGCAAGACAAUCUGAGAUCUGGAGACCAAGGGCAGUAUAUUUCAUUUACAUACUCCAUCAGGCUCUCUGCCUGGGUCCUAACUCACCUCACCAAUGGGCUUACUUUUGUCUUCAUUCUUUGUUCCUGAUAUAUAUAUAGGCCAGUGCAUUUGAGACAAAACCAAUAAGAAGGCAGGAGCCAGGAGCUGUUUCUAAUCCAAGCAUCUCACAUAGGUCAAACCUUUAAAGAUGGGAAUGAAAAUGAAGCUGUCCACUCUGGUCCAUUGUCAAAGAGGUCAUUUGGCACUCAUCUCACAAAUGGGGUAGCAUAAAAGAUGGGAGGAAUGGAGUGCGAUGGGGGCAGGGGGAGGCGAUAUGCAGAAAUGACCAGGCAGAAGGUUAGGCCCUUGGUUUCUCAGUCUACAAAUCCUGGCUGUGAUUAGAUUUGGUACCGCACACUUUUCAGAGAUUGCUGGGGGAGAAAUCACCUGCCACCUGCAUUCUGCUGGUUGGAUUUGCUACUGAUGGAGAAGGUAUAGGCUUUACCCAGGACCGCAUUUUUUUUUUUUAACUGCCUUACUCACAUGUACCAAUGCCACAGGAAAUUGAUGGUAACCAAUUGUCUAUGUGCUUUUGUUAGCACCUCUUUUCUGCUGUGCUGGGCUACACAAUUACCACAGCCCUUGAGAAUGCUUAUUGUCAAUAGGAGUAAUUUCACAUCCCAUCCAUUUAGUGAAAAGAUGUGAAAAUUGAUCCAGCUUCUGCGAUAAGACUGGAACCAGGGUGCAGGCUACAAAUGCCUUGGAAAUAAAUAUAUGUCCAUCAUUGUUUUCAUUAGGUAUUGCUGUAGCCCAGCCUCCAGGGAAAUGAACUCAAGUCCAGCUGUCUUGCCGUAGAAGUUCAGAUGUACUCCCAAUCUGGUGAAGUGGGCUGUCAGUUUCAUUUAUUGUUAACUUUUUGUAGUGGUUGUCAAGUAAGGGGUUGGCAGUCUGAAGAGCACAAUUCUGUUUUAUCCACAGACAGGGGACAGUGUAAUUCGACACUGGCUGCCAAGGAGGAACUUGUCCUUCCUAUCCAGCUUAUUGUCUGGACUCUUUUUUUAUGAUUUCAAAAGUCUCUUCAAAAGGGCAACAAAAUUAGCCUUAAAUAGUAUUUCUUGGAUUGCCUUUAACAAUGGCGAUAAGGCCAAAGCUUCUAGUCUUGACAGAAGUGGUUUCAUGACAACUUGUUUUUAUCUUGCCAGAAUAAGCAAGGAACUUAAAAAUGUGUUUUCAUUAUGGCUAAAGACUGUGUUUCAGCUGAUGUCUCUUGCAAGGAAAGAACAAUCUGCAAACUCCAUUAUUAUGUCUCUCAUUCACUUUCUGCUCCUAAGGCAAAAAGAUUUUUGUGUUGUUUUCUUUUUUGUUGUUGUUGUUUUAAAGAGGCCCUCUAUUUCAAUUAGCACAAUUAACAUAUCAAGAAUUUGUGUUUCCAUAAAUUCUACAUUUCACUUCCAGGAAUCAGACUUUAAAAAUGACCUUCAUUUACCAAGAGCUGUAAUCAAGAUGAAAAUCUUCACCCUAAAAACUAACCUUGGAAACAGAAGGCUAAAAAAAGAAAAAGCAUAAUACAGACUGUGUUUUCCAAGUCUUCUUCCCUUGCCUGGUGACAUUAGCCUGGCUUUGAUCUAUAGACAUGACAUCAUCUAUAGGGUGUGCCUUGUGCCAAACAUACUACAUUUCUUUAACCAAGACAGUGGUUUUGUGUAGACUUAGAGAUCAAGGCUAAAUAGCUUCAGAGCUGGUCUGAGUCUUCACAGACAAACAGGUCAGAGCAUAUGUGAGUUACACAACUCCUGCAGACAGCCCAGCCUCUUCCUCUGUGGCCCGCUGGAGAGUUUACAUUUGUCAAUGACUUCCUUCAGGGCCUGGCUCAAGAUUCAUUUCCUCCGAGAGUCCCUCUCCUGCUAACUCACCUCACUCAGCCCUUCUACCUCAUCUGCUGAUUACUCAUACCCUUUUUCCUGCUCUGCCAGGCACUCGGUUCUAUUUUACCUUGUGACGGUUCUCUACAUUUUUACUUUAUCCUUUGGCUAAAUUAAAAUUGCCUGGAAAGUAGGGCCUGUCUGCUACUUCUUUUGUGUGCUUAGGGAGCAUGUUAGUGCUACACGUACCAUAGUGUCUUUUUCUUUUCUCUUUCUUUUUUUUUUUUUUUUAGAUGCAGUUUCGUUCCUGUUGCCCAGGUUGGAGUGCAAUGGUACAAUCUUGGCUCACUGCAACCUUCGCCUCCCAGGUUCAAGCGAUUCUCCAGCCUCAGCCUCCCGAGUAGCUGGGAUUACAGGUGCCCACCACCAUGCCCAGCUAAUUUUUUUUGUAUUUAUAAUAGAGACAGGUUUUCACCAUGUUGCUCAGGCUGGUCUCGAACUCCUGACCUCAGGUGAUCCACCCGCCUUGGUCUCCCAAAAUGCUACUAGGAUUACAAGUGUGAGCCACUGCGCCCGGCACAUAGUUUCUUAAUAAGAGAGGAGUAUUCUGUGGUUGUUGUGUUAGGCUUGGGACCCUGCCUUUGCCCUCUGUUCCUAAAAGCCAAACUCACUGCUUCAACAGCAGGGAGUCUUCCCAGUCCACUCUGGCAAUGGCAUGCCACCUUGGUAUAGUCCUCUCUGGUUUGACCCCAGAAAUCUGUUCCAAGCUUCUCUCCUCAGUGGCUAACAUCUCAUGGGUUUUACUUUCCAAGGUAGGGAUGGGGGAGGCGGGGAAGAAGGGUGCCUGAGCACAGAGCCACGUCAAGUGGAGAGCAGGGGACCCAAGGAGGAUGGGAGCAGACCUUUAGGUACCACAGGGAACAGUGGAGGAGCAGGUAGCUGGGGAGGCUCAGGUUGGGGAGGGGCCAGGGAAAUUUAGACCAAAAGUAUUCAGAAUCUAUGCUGAUAUGAAGAAUAGUCAAAGGUGCAAUUAAAGCAUCUCUGAAAUAAAGAUGUGAGGUCGUGAUUCUAAAUCCAGCCUCAUAUUUUCCUAGGGUAUAUGUGCUGGGGAAAUAUGAAGCCACAGGGUAAACAAGGUCCUUUUUUUCUGGAAUGUCAGCCUUAUCAACCACUUUAUAAAGCUUCCAAUUACAAAUGAAUUAACUUAAGCAACUGCCGCCCACCACCCCCCACCACCCAUCUUUUUGGAGGGGUUCACUUGUCUGGGAAGCCCAUGAAGCUUCAGGUAUGGCUGGAUCUAGGUGUUCCAAUGAUGUUGUCAGAGCUGUAGCUCUUUCCAUCUUUCUGCUCUGCUUGGCCUCAUUCUGUGUGGAGGCUUUCUCCAAGUUACAGUUAAACUGACUGCUGGCAACUCCAGUCCUUAUUCUCUUUGCUUAGCCACCCACAGAAGAGAAAUAACUUCUUUCUCUUCAUAUUUAUACACCAAUUUUAAAAAAGAUACUUCAGGUUGAGUGUGGUGGCUCACACUUGUAAUCCCAGCACUUUGGGAGGCCGAGGAGGGCAGAUCACCUGAGGUCAGGAGUUUGAGACCAGCCUGGCCAACAUGGUGAAACCCCAUCUCUACUAAAAAUACAAAAAUUAUCCAGGUGUGGUGGCGGGUGUCUGUAAUCCCAGCUACUCAGGAGGCGAGGCAGGAGAAUGGCUUGAACCUGGGAGAUGGAGGUUGCAGUAAGCCGAGAUCCCACUAUUGCACGCCA